rnacentral:rRNA from 1 species
GUGUCAGCAGCCGCGGUAAUACGGAGGAUCCAAGCGUUAUCCGGAAUCAUUGGGUUUAAAGGGUCCGUAGGCGGGCAAUUAAGUCAGCGGUGAAAUCUUGCAGCUCAACUGCAAGCCUGCCGUUGAUACUGGUUGUCUUGAAUUGAUGUGAAGUGGCUAGAAUAUGUGGUGUAGCGGUGAAAUGCAUAGAUAUCACAUGGAAUACCGAUUGCGAAGGCAGGUCACUAACAUUAUAUUGACGCUGAUGGACGAAAGCGUGGGGAUCAAACAGGAUUAGAUACCCUGGUAGUCCACGCCGUAAACGAUGGAUACUAGCUGUUCGGUGCACAUUGGUGUGCUGAGUGGCUAAGCGAAAGUGAUAAGUAUCCCACCUGGGGAGUACGUUCGCAAGAAUGAA